rnacentral:lncRNA from 1 species
UAAAAGAAAGGACCGACAGUAAACCCUAACUAUACCCGAUUCCCGAUUCCCUCUUUUAAUUUCAAUUUAAAAUUGAAAUUUUUAGAAAAUUCGUAAGUGUAGGAAAAAUAAAAAUAAAAAUAAAAAUGGACCAAACAACAAACACGUGAUCCACAUUAGACACGUGUAACCGCCAAAAGACACAUGUGUAGCCGCCAAAAUGCACUAGUUGUACCAAAAUUAUAAGUUGUACUCGUUUUGGCAAGUUGUACUUUUUCACUU